rnacentral:lncRNA from 1 species
GGUGUUACAACUCUCCCAUUUCCCCUAAAAGAAAUUUGAUCCCUUAAAUUUAUCUCUUUCACUCUCAAUCAAACAGUUGGGGAUAUUUGGCUCUGAAGUCUGAUUCUAGCUCCCAUGUGGCCUUUCUUAGUGUGUGAUUCUGCCAUAGGACAUUCAUAAAGGAAAUUUUUUGGUUGCAGAGUAAUAUACUCUUUCGAUCCACAAUGUCGACCGGUACUUCCUAGUGUGACAGAUCCACCUGGAGUGGAAGAGACUCAUGGGCCAAGAUGUGUGAGGUGUCUGGGUUGUACUUGUGUAGCAUGGACACAUGAAACACAUUAUGGAC